rfam:Myotis lucifugus cont2.12786, whole genome shotgun sequence.
GGAGGUUCUCGGGUGACACACCCCAGAGUCGGGCUUCCUCCUCUCUGGUUCUGGGGUGCAUCACCAGAGAACUGCC